rnacentral:rRNA from 1 species
UACGUAGGGUGCGAGCGUUAAUCGGAAUUACUGGGCGUAAAGCGUGCGUAGGCGGUUCGCUGUGUCCGAUGUGAAAGCCCCGGGCUUAACCUGGGAAUGGCAUUGGAAACUGGCGGGCUUGAGUGCGGCAGAGGGAGGUGGAAUUCCACGUGUAGCAGUGAAAUGCGUAGAGAUGUGGAGGAACACCGAUGGCGAAGGCAGCCUCCUGGGCCAGCACUGACGCUCAUGCACGAAAGCGUGGGGAGCAAACAGG